AACGGCGAGUGAAGCGGCAAAAGCUCAAAUUUGAAAUCUGGCGCCUGCAAGUGUCCGAGUUGUACUUUGGAGAGGCAUCUUCGUGAGGGGUCCAGCCUAUGUUCCUUGGAACAGGGCGUCACAGAGGGUGAGAAUCCCGUUCGUGGCUGGAUACUCCUUGCAGUAUGUAGUGUCUUCAAUGAGUCGAGUUGUUUGGGAAUGCAGCUCAAAAUGGGUGGUAAAUUUCAUCUAAAGCUAAAUAUUGGCGAGAGACCGAUAGCGCACAAGUAGAGUGAUCGAAAGAUGAAAAGCACUUUGAAAAUAGAGUCAAACAGUACGUGAAAUUGUUGAAAGGGAAGCGCUUGAGAUCAGAGUCAGCCUUUGACAAACAACAUUCCUUAUGGAUAGUGCACUUGUUAUUGGCUGGGCCAGCAUCAGUUGGGACGGUAGGAUAAAGGCCUUGGGAAUGUGACUCCCUUCCGGAGUGUUAUAGCCCUUGGUGCCAUACUGCCUGCCCUGACUGUGGACCGCGCUUCGGCUUGGAUGCUGGCUUAAUGGUCUUCAGCGGCCCGUCUUGAAACACGGACCAAGGAGUCUAACGUCUAUGCAAGUGUUUGGGCUCAAAACCCUCACGCGUAAUGAAAGUGAACGGAGGUGGGAACCCUUGCAAGGGGUGCACCAUCGACCGAUCCUGAUGUCUUCGGAUGGAUUUGAGUAGGAGCAUAGCUGUUGGGACCCGAAAGAUGGUGAACUAUGCCUGAGUAGGUGAACCCAGAGGAAACUCUGGUGGAGGCUCGCAGCGGUUCUGACGUGCAAAUCGAUCGUCAAAUUUGGGUAU
rnacentral:rRNA from 1 species